rnacentral:tRNA from 1 species
GAUUAAGACAAUUAAGUAUAUUCUUUUAAUAA